rnacentral:rRNA from 1 species
AGUGAACGCUGGCGGUAGGCCUAACACAUGCAAGCCGAACGGCAGCACAGUAAGAGCUUGCUCUUACGGGUGGCGAGUGGCGGACGGGUGAGGAAUACAUCGGAAUCUACUUUUUCGUGGGGGAUAACGUAGGGAAACUUACGCUAAUACCGCAUACGACCUACGGGUGAAAGCAGGGGAUCUUCGGACCUUGCGCGAUUGAAUGAGCCGAUGUCGGAUUAGCUAGUUGGCGGGGUAAAGGCCCACCAAGGCGACGAUCCGUAGCUGGUCUGAGAGGAUGAUCAGCCACACUGGAACUGAGACACGGUCCAGACUCCUACGGGAGGCAGCAGUGGGGAAUAUUGGACAAUGGACGCAAGCCUGAUCCAGCCAUACCGCGUGGGUGAAGAAGGCCUUCGGGUUGUAAAGCCCUUUUGUUGGGAAAGAAAAGCAGCAGGUUAAUACCCCGCUGUUCUGACGGUACCCAAAGAAUAAGCACCGGCUAACUUCGUG